UACGUAGGGGGCAAGCGUUGUCCGGAUUUAUUGGGCGUAAAGAGCGUGUAGGCGGCCACGUAGGUCUGCUGUGAAAACUCGAGGCUUAACCUCGAGCUGUCGGCGGAAACCAUGUGGCUAGAGUCCGGAAGAGGAGAAUGGAAUUCCCGGUGUAGCGGUGAAAUGCGCAGAUAUCGGGAAGAACACCCGUGGCGAAGGCGGUUCUCUGGGACGGUACUGACGCUGAGACGCGAAAGCGUGGGGAGCGAACAGG
rnacentral:rRNA from 1 species